rnacentral:rRNA from 1 species
CUACGUAGGGGGCGAGCGUUGUCCGGAAUGACUGGGCGUAAAGGGCGUGUAGGCGGCGAUUUAAGUUUGGAGUGAAAGUCCCGUUUUCAAGAUGGGAAUUGCUUUGGAUACUGGAUUGCUUGAGUACAGAAGAGGUAAGCGGAAUUCCCGGUGUAGCGGUGAAAUGCGUAGAGAUCGGGAGGAACACCAGUGGCGAAGGCGGCUUACUGGGCUGUAACUGACGCUGAGGCGCGAAAGCGUGGGGAGCGAACAGGAUUAGAUACCCUGGUAGUCCACGCGGUAAACGAUGAAUGCUAGGUGUAGCGGGUAUCGACCCCUGCUGUGCCGCAGUAAACACAAUAAGCAUUCCGCCUGGGGAGUACGGCCGCAAGGUUGAAACUCAAAUGAAUUGACGGGG